rnacentral:lncRNA from 1 species
UUACUUUGAAUAUUUUUUAUUUUUUAUUUUCCUUUUUCCAGAUCAAUUUUUCUCUCCUUUCAGCUGUAUGUCUCUCCAGCUCUAACCAUUGUUAUACUCAAUCUCAAGUGGCUUACCAUUGUUUUCUUUAUUAUUUGAAAAUAUUUUGGAAGAAUACUAAAGAAAGUAAAUGAAAUUAAAAUUGAUUGUUGAACGAUGC